ensembl:lncRNA novel transcript
CACUCAAGUGGGACAGUAAGAUUUUCUCUGAGGCUGGCACUGGUGCCUGCCUCUGCUCCGGGGAAUCCAGACGUGGCACCCGGAGUUGGGCCUCAUCCAUCCUCAGCUUUCAUUUGUGACCAAGCCUGACUCAGAAUGGGCUGGCAGUUUUCCUGAGUACAUGGGAGUUAGGGCAGAGAACAUGAUGUGGUGCUGGUAGUCAACGCAAGCUGGCACGGCCUCAGCCAGAAGACUGGAGCUAGGAGCAAGCAAAGGAACAUUGCCCUGAGACAGACAUCCAUGAAGAAGCCUGGGAUGAAAGACCACAUGGAGAGAAAGGCCCACCAUCAUUCUGCACCAACUACCAACGGCGUAAGGGAGGUUGACUUGGAUCUCCCACCCCAGUUGACUCUCCAGCUGAAAGCAACUGCCUGAGCCCAAACAAAACCUGCUGAGGAACCUCCCUGCUAGCAAAUGGAAUCAGGAGAAAUAAUAAAUAGUUCUGUUGUUUUAAGUCACCAACUCA